rnacentral:rRNA from 1 species
ACGCGACCUCAGGUCAGGCGGGAUCACCCGCUGAGUUU